GACGAACGCUGGCGGCGUGCUUAACACAUGCAAGUCGAGCGGUAAGGCCCUUUCGGGGGUACGACGAGCGGCGAACGGGUGAGUAACACGUGGGUGACCUGCCUUUAGCUCUGGGAUAAGCCUGGGAAACUAGGGUCUAAUACCGGAUAUGACCCUAUGGCGCAUGUUGUGGGGUGGGAAAGCCUUGUGCGGCUAGGGAUGGGCCCGCGGCCUAUCAGCUUGUUGGUGGGGUGAUGGCCUACCAAGGCGACGACGGGUAGCCGGCCUGAGAGGGCGACCGGCCACACUGGGAC
rnacentral:rRNA from 1 species